AUUGAACGCUGGCGGCAGGCCUAACACAUGCCAGUCGAGCGGAUGAAGGGAGCUUGCUCCUGGAUUCAGCGGCGGACGGGUGAGUAAUGCCUAGGAAUCUGCCUGGUAGUGGGGGAUAACGUCCGGAAACGGGCGCUAAUACCGCAUACGUCCUGAGGGAGAAAGUGGGGGAUCUUCGGACCUCACGCUAUCAGAUGAGCCUAGGUCGGAUUAGCUAGUUGGUGGGGUAAAGGCCUACCAAGGCGACGAUCCGUAACUGGUCUGAGAGGAUGAUCAGUCACACUGGAACUGAGACACAGUCCAGACUCCUACGGGAGGCAGCAGUGGGGAAUAUUGGACAAUGGGCGAAAGCCUGAUCCAGCCAUGCCGCGUGUGUGAAGAAGGUCUUCGGAUUGUAAAGCACUUUAAGUUGGGAGGAAGGGCAGUAAGUUAAUACCUUGCUGUUUUGACGUUACCAACAGAAUAAGCACCGGCUAACUUCGUGC
rnacentral:rRNA from 1 species